UUUUUAAUUGAGAGUUUGAUCCUGGCUCAGGAUGAACGCUGGCGGGCGUGCUUAACACAUGCAAGUCGAACGGACU
rnacentral:rRNA from 1 species